UACGGGGGAGCAAGCGUUGUUCGGAUUUACUGGGCGUAAAGGCGCGUAGGCCGGCCAGCGCAAGUCAGUUGUGAAAUCUCCGGGCUUAACUCGGAACGGUCAACUGAUGACUGCGCGGCUAGAGUGCAGAAGGGGCAACUGGAAUUCUCGGUGUAGCGGUUGAAAUGCGUAGAUAUCGAGAGGAACACCUGCGGCGAAGGCGGGUAGCUGGGCCGACACUGACGCUGAUGCGCGAAAGCGUGGGGAGCAAACAGG
rnacentral:rRNA from 1 species